rnacentral:sRNA from 1 species
AUGGCAGACAAGGUCCUGAAGGAGAAGAGAAAGCAGUUUAUCUGUUCAGCGGGUGAAGGUACAAUAAAUGGCUUACUGGAUGAAUUAUUCGAGACAAGGGUGCUGAGCCAGGAAGAGAUAGAGAUAGUAAAAUGUGAAAAUGCUACAGUUAUGGAUAAGGCCCAAGCUUUGCUUGACUCUGUUAUUCGGAAAGGGGCUCCGGCAUGCCAAAUUUGCAUCACAUACAUUUGUGAAGAAGACAGUCACCUGGCAGGGACGCUGGGACUCUCAGCAGGUCCAACAUCUGGAAAUCACCUUACUACACAAGAUUCUCAAGUAGUACUUCCUUCCUAGAGACUCCUCAGGCAGUGCCAGUGUGGGGCAACCCUGCUAUGCCUACAUCCUCAGGCUCAGGAGGAAGCAUCAAGCUUUGCUCCCUAGACGAAGCUAAAAUGAUAUGGAAAGAAAAGUUGACAGAGAUUUAUCCAAUAAUGGGCAAGUCAAGCUGCACACAUCUUGCUCUCAUUAUGUUUAACAAAGAGUUUGACAGUCUUUCUAAAAGAGUGGGAGCUGAGGUUGAUGUCAUAGGCAUGAUGAUGCUGCUAUAAAAUCUGGGGUACAAGGUGGAUGAGAAAAGAAAUCUCACUGCUUCGGAAAUGACUACAGAGUUGGAGGUAUUCGCUCUGCACCAAGAGCACAAGGCCUCUGGUCUGAUGGUAUUCGGGAAGGCAUUUGUGGGAAGAAAUACUCUGAGCAAGUCCCAGAUGUAUUACAACUCAAUGAAAUCUUUAAAACGUUGAAUAGCAAGAACUGCCCAAGUUUGAAGGACAAACCCAAGGUGAUAAUCAUCCAGGCCUGCCAUAUUGAGAACCAUGGUGUGGUGUUGGUAAAAGAUUCAGCACGGGCCUCUAAAAAUACAUCUUUACCAACUCCAGGAGAUUUUGAGGAUGAUGCUAUUAAUCAAGUACACAUAGAGAAGGAUUUUAUUGCUUUCUGCUCUUCCACAUUAGAUAAUGUUUGCUGGAGACAUCCUGCAAAGGGCUCUUUUUAUUAUGAGUCAUUGAACAACUGCAAGAAUAUGCCUGUUCCUGUGAUGUGGAGGAAAUUUUCCACAAGGUUCAACUUUCAUUUGAGCAGCCAGAUGAUAAAGCACAGAUGCCCAGCACUGAAAGAGUUACUUCGACAAGACGUUUCUAUCUCUUCCCAGGACAUUAA